rnacentral:rRNA from 1 species
UACGGAGGGUGCAAGCGUUAAUCGGAAUUACUGGGCGUAAAGCGCACGCAGGUGGCUGAGUCAGUCGAUUGUGAAAGCCCUGGGCUUAACCUGGGAAUUGCAGUCGAUACUACUCAGCUAGAGUAUGGGAGAGGGCAGUGGAAUUCCCGGUGUAGCGGUGAAAUGCGUAGAUAUCAGGAGGAACACCGGUGGCGAAGGCGGCUUGCUGGGCCAGUUCUGACGCUGAGGAGCGAAAGCGUGGGGAGCGAACAGG